rnacentral:piRNA from 1 species
UGGACCAGGCUCAUCAGCAAGCUUCAGGGCA